UUUCCGUAGGUGAACCUGCGGAAGGAUCAUUACAGAGUUCAUGCCCUCACGGGUAGAUCUCCCACCCUUGAAUAUUUAUACCUUAGUUGCUUUGGUAGGCCGUGGAAACACCAUGGGCUCCGGCUUAUGCGUGCCUGCCAGAGGAAACAAACUCUGUUUUUAGUGAUGUCUGAGUACUAUAUAAUAGUUAAAACUUUCAACAACGGAUCUCUUGGUUCUG
rnacentral:misc_RNA from 1 species